rnacentral:rRNA from 1 species
UACAGAGGGGGCGAGCGUUGUUCGGAAUUACUGGGCGUAAAGGGCGCGUAGGCGGCCUUCUAAGUCGAACGUGAAAUCCCCGGGCUCAACCCGGGAACUGCGUCCGAUACUGGGAGGCUUGAAUCCGGGAGAGGGAUGUGGAAUUCCAGGUGUAGCGGUGAAAUGCGUAGAUAUCUGGAGGAACACCGGUGGCGAAGGCGGCAUCCUGGACCGGUAUUGACGCUGAGGCGCGAAAGCCAGGGGGAGCAAACGGG